rnacentral:rRNA from 1 species
CUACGGGAGGCAGCAGUGAGGAAUUUUGCGCAAUGGGGGAAACCCUGACGCAGCAACGCCGCGUGAGCGAAGAAGGCCCUCGGGUCGUAAAGCUCUGUCAAGUGGGAAAAAAAUUUUUUGAUCAAUAGUCAAAAGACUUGAUGGUACCACUGGAGGAAGCACCGGCUAACUCCGUGCCAGCAGCCGCGGUAAUACGGAGGGUGCGAGCGUUGUUCGGAUUUACUGGGCGUAAAGAGCGUGUAGGCGGUUUAGCAAGUCAGAUGUGAAAGCCCUGGGCUCAACCCGGGAAGUGCAUUUGAAACUGCUUCACUAGAGUAUGGGAGAGGGGAUUGGAAUUCCUGGUGUAGAGGUGAAAUUCGUAGAUAUCAGGAGGAACACCCGUGGCGAAGGCGAUUCUCUGGACCAAUACUGACGCUGAGACGCGAAAGCGUGGGGAGCAAACAGGAUUAGAUACCCUCGUAGUC